GAAAUGCGAUACGUAAUGCGAAUUGCAGAAUUCAGUGAAUCAUCAAAUCUUUGAACGCAACUUGCGCUUUCGGGUAGCCCCGGAAGCAUGCUUCUUUGAGUAUCGUUUCAACCCGUCUCUGGCCGCGUGCUUAGAGUCUUGAGGCGUUAGACUGCACAAGUCUAUCCCUUUAAGUAUAGCGCUCUACUCAACUUUCGUUGGGACGGUUUCUCUCAACUAGUUGAUGUUUGAUAAUUGACUUCGUGUCAACAAUAUCACAUCGGCUAGGAGGGCAGCUGGCGAGCUGGCAAAGGAAAAUUUAAACUUUUUUGAUAAUGAUCUCAGAUGAAGCAAGACUACCCGCCGAAUUUAA
rnacentral:misc_RNA from 1 species